rnacentral:rRNA from 1 species
CCUACGGGAGGCAGCAGUGGGGAAUAUUGGACAAUGGGGGGAACCCUGAUCCAGCGACGCCGCGUGAGUGAAGAAGUAUUUCGGUAUGUAAAGCUCUAUCAGCAGGGAAGAAAGAAAUGACGGUACCUGACUAAGAAGCCCCGGCUAACUACGUGCCAGCAGCCGCGGUAAUACGUAGGGGGCAAGCGUUAUCCGGAUUUACUGGGUGUAAAGGGAGCGUAGACGGCGAUGCAAGUCUGAAGUGAAAGGCGGGGGCCCAACCCCCGGACUGCUUUGGAAACUGUAUGGCUGGAGUGCAGGAGAGGUAAGUGGAAUUCCUAGUGUAGCGGUGAAAUGCGUAGAGAUUAGGAGGAACACGAGUGGCGAAGGCGGCUUACUGGACUGUAACUGACGUUGAGGCUCGAAAGCGUGGGGAGCAAACAGGAUUAGAUACCCUGGUAGUC